rnacentral:rRNA from 1 species
AUACGGAGGGUGCGAGCGUUAAUCGGAAUUACUGGGCGUAAAGCGUGCGUAGGCGGUUUGCUAAGUCAGAUGUGAAAGCCCCGGGCUUAACCUGGGAACUGCAUUUGAUACUGGCAGACUAGAGUAUGAUAGAGGGGGGUAGAAUUCCUGGUGUAGCGGUGAAAUGCGUAGAUAUCAGGAGGAAUACCAGUGGCGAAGGCGGCCCCCUGGAUCAAUACUGACGCUGAGGUACGAAAGCGUGGGGAGCGAACAGGAUUAGAAACCCGUGUAGUCC